UAGAAAAAAAAUAUUUAUAAUGUGCGGUUUACCCGCGCGAUUUAAAUUAAAAACUGGUCUUACUUUUUGGUACAGUAGUAUGUCUGUACAUAUGACAGUUAAAAACUGUACAUAUGUCUGUCUUCGUUUUUUCUUCAAAUUAGACAGGCAUGAUUUGACUGUCAGGUAGCUUACCAAGAGGUUGGAACAAUUGACCCAAUCACCCUAUCCUUUUCGUAUUUCUUGUGCAUACAUAAAUGUAUGCUGCUUUCUUUUACUACAUUUAGCGGAAAAUCUAACCGCAUAUGCAUAGAAAUCUUUCUGCAAACUUUUUGGACAUACUUGAGCUUCUGAAUUCAGACGCAAUGUGUUUCACAAUUUUUCUGUUUGGAGCACCCACACUUCCGCAAUGUACAAGCUGCGGAAUUUUUGGACUAGGCAAAUGCUACGCUAAUUGACAGCUUGUGAUUUUACAUCUAAAAUUUUCUUUUCGUUUUCGUCACACAUUGAGCAAAGCUGCAAUUAAUUUUUGCCUAGAAGCAUGUGUAAUUCUGUGCAACCUUUACGACGUAAACUUUGCGCGAGAAAUCAGUCAGUGUUCUGUCGGUAAAGUUUUCGGCGUCAGCAUCCCCUUAAUCUCGAUUCGGCGCGGACCCAGACGCGGCGGGGCGGGGAAAGGACAAAAAAGGAAGAAGAACGCGGACAGGUGGAGCGCGAGCGCGCCCGGUUUCUCGCCGCAAAAUCCAGCCGAGUUCACCCACUUUCCUCCGGUCUGCCCGUCAAGGUGGCCGGCGGCAGCGUGGAGCAUUACCAUUCGGUAAAGUGCGCGCGUGUACGUGCACGUGUGGGUCGAACGUAACGUGUAAUUAGGUGUCUUAACGUGCCGAGGCCAGUGCACCGAGGUAACGCGAUAUCUACGGCGAUUCGAGUCAGGGAGUAAAGGCUCAUUCGGAAUUGUUACGUUGCCGGCGAUUCGUUCGACAAAAAUUGGCCCGAAUUUUCAAAACAACUCGAUAUACUGGGAACACUUCGGUGAUAGAUUCGGCAUUUAAAACCAACAAAGUAAGUUCCUGCAAACAUCUGGUCCGAUUCGAUUUUGUUUCCGAAUUAUGCUCCUCUUCGGCGAAGUUUCUCUAGUAAAGCGCCUGGAUGCAUCGAAAGGAUAAAAAGAUCGAUGACUAGAUGUUUAUGAGCUUGCAUCGAGAUGCAAGCUGAUGCUGAAGCGAUGCUGAGUAGCCACAAAACUUUGCUGGAAAACAAAAUGUGUCAUAACUCGGAAAUAAAAACAGAAAUCUGACGUAUGUUCAUUGGGAGGUCUUUUAUUGUUGAAUUAAAUCAAUAUUCAUAACAAAUCUUGUUGAUACAUUCUUUCACAAAUUCCAUAUUUCUCUUUCUGCUUGAACUUUUAUUUUAUUUUCUGCUUUGUGCUCAGUCUAUCUCUGAAAUGUUUCCGACACAUUGAGUUACACCCUAUAUAUCGAUCACGAAUAGCGUACGCGCCACGUCCGUCGCAUGCAAUGGUAUUAUAAAUUCAGAAUAAAUCUCGACCAACGGAUACAGUUUUAAAGAUGACGCCGGUCGGCACGCGGAGCGCGUAACAGUGGUGCAAUGAAAAGGACUCGUACUGCGCGUCUGGUAGCAAGGUGUAUUAAUCUCGAUCGGGUCGACCGAUCGCUGAUUUAUCGCACGACGAAAGGGGACGUCGUGAAAUCGUAAUUUACAAGCAACGACGGCCCGGAUCCAUGCGCUUAACUCUUCGCGGUAUUCGCGGCUGUUCUUUAUUUAUUUAUUUCAACGACCGAUCCUUUUUUUA